CCUACGGGUGGCUGCAGUGGGGAAUAUUGGACAAUGGGGGGAACCCUGAUCCAGCCAUGCCGCGUGUGUGAAGAAGGCCCUCGGGUUGUAAAGCACUUUCAGUGAGGAAGAACGCCUGGUGGUUAAUACCCAUCAGGAAAGACAUCACUCACAGAAGAAGCACCGGCUAACUCCGUGCCAGCAGCCGCGGUAAUACGGAGGGUGCGAGCGUUAAUCGGAAUUACUGGGCGUAAAGCGCGCGUAGGUGGCUUGAUAAGCCGGUUGUGAAAGCCCCGGGCUCAACCUGGGAACGGCAUCCGGAACUGUCAAGCUAGAGUGCAGGAGAGGAAGGUAGAAUUCCCGGUGUAGCGGUGAAAUGCGUAGAGAUCGGGAGGAAUACCAGUGGCGAAGGCGGCCUUCUGGACUGACACUGACACUGAGGUGCGAAAGCGUGGGUAGCAAACCGGAUUAGAUACCCGUGUAGUC
rnacentral:rRNA from 1 species